UUGUACCAAUGAAGAUGGUUCAACUUGGAGAAUCUGCAAGCUUUCAAUGUGAUCUGCCCAGUGAGAUUAAUGAAAGAGUCAUCCACUGGUUUAAGCAAAGACCAGGAGAUACCCUGAGACUGAUUUUGAAAGUGACUAUAAGAAAACAACAACCUAAAAUCCCUGAAUUUGAGCCAGAGUUUCCUAAAACAAGAUGGGAGGUAGAAAUUAAUCAAAAAUUUAGCCGUCUCACAUUGUUGAAGGCAAUCUACAGUGAUGAUGGACUAUAUCACUGUGCACUCGCUGCUUGGAAAGGCAAUAUCGAAUGGAGAGGGACAUAUUGGAUGGCUAUAGGGAAUACUGUGAGGAUGUCAGACAACACUGUCAUUCAGCAACUUGCAGUAUCCAAUCCGGUCCGCUCAGGAGACACGGCUACCCUUCAGUGUUCAGUUUGGUUUGACUCUGAGAAGAUGGAUUGCUCUGAAGAUUUCAGCAUGUUCUGGUUCCAAGCACAAUCAAAUAAUACCUAUCCAAAUAUGAUCUACACAGAUGGAAACAACCAUCAUGAAUGUGAGAAGAGAUCUGACUCUGAGAAGAGUUGUAUGUUUAAAUUCUCAAAAGUUGUCAACUCCUCUGAUUCUGGGAUAUUUUAUUGUGCUGUGGCCUCAUGUGGAAAAAUAUUGUUUGGAAAUGGAACCAGACUGGAAAUCGUGGACAACACAAGUUUUGAGUCUGUUGCCCUGCUGACUACAGUAUCCUGCCUGGUCUUUUCUUUGAUAUUAAAUGUUGUUCUCAUCUGUUACCAAGCUUCAAAGGCAAGGCAAAAAAGACCUCAAGGCAAGUGUUCCAAAAAAUGAAAUUGAUUUUUGUUAUUUUGGUUUAUUUAUCUGGGACUAUGUACAGAAGGCAUUGCUCUGAUACAUAUAUAGAGCUCUUUUUCAUCUGCAUCCUCUGUAGAUUUUCUGAUUUGGUGUAAAGUUUGUCUUAUUUGUUCAUGGAAGGACCUUGGCAUAAAUGCAACAAUAAUUUUUGAUCCCAACUUUGAAAUAAUGAAUUUGUUAAAAAUGUUUUUGCGUUGUCUUUGUUUGCAUUUAUUCUCUGUGACACUUGGUAGUCAAAUUUGUAACUAAACAUAAGUAAUUAUUUUGUUCCCAUCUCUAAACUUAAGCAACUUGUUUUUUACCAAGACUCUUUUAAAAUGCUUGAAAUUGUUCGUGUAAUUUACAGCCCAGUCCAGCCUUUAAUUAUAUCAUAUUAAAUGGGUUAAAGCUUUUGACACUUGUUACUUAUCUUAAAAUAUGUUCACCUCUUAUUGUUGCAUAUUUGCUCACAACUAUUAGUUGACUUGUGUCACCAUUGUAUAUAAUAUAUUUAAACAUCCAAAGUAAAUGGAUGGAGUGUACAACCUUCACAUUUUUUUGUGUCAGGGAUGGAGAGCACCACUUCACAAGAGACAUCGCACAGACUGCGACAGAGAAUACCUGAUCCUACUGACGGUGGAAACACAAACUAUGCUGCCUUGUACUUUUCAAGAAGAAUCUGAAAAUGUGGAGGCAACAAUAAAAACAUGGAACCCCUGGAGUGUUUUUACUCUGAAAUUAAAGUCUAAGCAUCAAUAAAUACUGAUGUGAAAAAUAAAUGUAUCUGCUUUUUAUGGACAAUGUUUUAAAAUGAAUUUUACUCUAAUCUACUUAAAAGUAUCUAUUUUGAAGGCAUGUUACUUUUUUAAGCUGCAUAUACAGUAGUAGCACAAACUGUCUCUUUGAAAAGCAUGUUGUUUUCUGUUUUUGCCUAAAUUAUUUGCUUUAUAGGUACUUCAACAUAAGUAAUCAAAGAAGAACCCAGAAGU